GCAAGUGACAAGAAAUGUAAAAUUUUGUUGACUAGCUAACUUGUUUUGGACAGUUUCACAGCAGUAAACACUGUUGGAACUUUAUGGUUAUUGAUUUCCUUGUUUUAGUUUUCAUUGUGAUGUUAUGGCUUUGAUAUGUUGAUUGCAACCAUUCUGAGGCAUCUAUUUCAUUUUCUUUGGUUUUGUUUUGUUUGUUUAAAGGUGAGUAUGGUGAAUGCUUUCAGUAGCCCAGCAAAGUAGACCGCGAGCUAUUUCGAGGGGAUGGAUGCUGAUAACCAUGUUGUCAACUGUUGUACUGCCAGACUAUGUAGAAUUUCUAAGUUGGUGUGAACCAGAAGUAAUAAUACUGUAGCUUCACGACGUGGGCUGCAUCAAGACAUGCGAUGAGUGGUUUCUUCAGAAUACUGUUUAACUCAAGACAUAGAAUCAAAUACAUUGGUUCAAACCCUGUCCUAGCUCAUCUGUAAAAGACAGUAGCAGAAGCAAACCUCAUUGUUAUUUGUUUCCAUGAAGAUGGUGCAAGAUAAAUUUUAAUCUGCUUGAAAACUUUUCUGUCAGCUAAGUAAUUAAAUAAACAAAUCAGGCAAACUAUGACUUCAAA